rnacentral:misc_RNA from 1 species
GUCACAGACUCGGAUGACAAAAAACAAAACGCAGUUUGCCAGGAGAGAUACAAGAGACGAGAUAGUGAGGAUUUCAGAAAAGCUUAUGAUCUGGACAUUGAAAGGGAAGAUGAAUGUGGAAUUUGCAUGGAGGUGAACAGCAAAAUUAUCCUUCCCAACUGCAAUCAUAUAAUGUGCUUGAAAUGCUAUCGUGAAUGGCGU